rnacentral:misc_RNA from 1 species
GAUGAAAAACGCAGCGAAAUGCGAUACGUAAUGUGAAUUGCAAAUUCAGUGAAUCAUCGAGUCUUUGAACGCACAUUGCGCCCCCUGGUAUUCCGGGGGGCAUGCCUGUCCGAGCGUCAUUACUGCCCUCAAGCCCGGCUUGUGUGUUGGGCCCCGUCCUCCGAUCCCGGGGGACGGGCCCGAAAGGCAGCGGCGGCACCGCGUCCGGUCCUCGAGCGUAUGGGGCUUUGUCACCCGCUCUGUAGGCCCGGCCGGCGCUUGCCGAUCAACCCCAAUUUUUAUAGGUUGACCUCGGAUCAGGUAGGGAUACCCGCUGAACUUAAGCAUAUCAAUAAGCGGAGGA